GUCCACGCCCUAAACGAUGUCUACUAGUUGUCGGGUCUUAACUGACUUGGUAACGCAGCUAACGCGUGAAGUAGACCGCCUGGGAGUACGGUCGCAAGAUUAAACUCAAAGGAAUUGACGGGACCCGCACAAGCGGUGGAUGAUGUGGAUUAAUUCGAUGCAACGCGAAACCUUACCUACCCUUGACAUGUACGGAAUUCUGCUGAGAGGUGGAAGUGCUCGAAAGAGAACCGUAACACAGGUGCUGCAUGGCUGUCGU
rnacentral:rRNA from 1 species